rnacentral:rRNA from 1 species
UACAGAGGGGGCAAGCGUUGUUCGGAAUUACUGGGCGUAAAGGGCGCGUAGGCGGCCUUCUAAGUCGAACGUGAAAUCCCUGGGCUCAACCCAGGAACUGCGUCCGAUACUGGAAGGCUUGAAUCCGGGAGAGGGUAGUGGAAUUCCCGGUGUAGUGGUGAAAUGCGUAGAUAUCGGGAGGAACACCAGUGGCGAAGGCGACUACCUGGCCUGUUUCUUGACGCUGAGGCGCGAAAGCUAGGGGAGCAAACGGG